rnacentral:rRNA from 1 species
CCCUUAGAUGUUCUGGGCUGCACGCGCGCUACACUGAUGCGAUCAACAAGUUUUUCCUAUGUCGAUAGACACGGGUAAUCUUUUGAACUCGCAUCGUGAUGGGGAUAGAUUAUUGUAAUUAUUAAUCUUCAACGAGGAAUUCCUAGUAGGUGCAAAUCAUCAGUUUGCAUCGAUUACGUCCCUGCCCUUUGUACACACCGCCCGUCGCUACUACCGAUUGGUUGAUCUGGUGAAUUAUUCGGACUGCCGGCUGAAGGGGUUUCCUCAUCUGCCAGCGGAAAGUCUUGUUAACCCUAUCAACUAGAGGAAGCAGAAGUCGUAACA